UGGGAGGUAAAAUAUCAAUUAACUGUUCCCCUGGGUGGUCUGAUGUUCGGUAUUUUGGGCUGUGUGUUAUAGUAGGAAUAUUUCCACGAAGACUAGCCAUUCGGUUUUUGUUUGACACAUCCAGCAGCGUUGUUAUUUAAGUCCAGGCAAAAGCAUAGGUACAAUCAUAGUUCUGUUACACUAACCAACGGGACGUCCCUCUAGUGGCUGUCUGGUAGACAGUCACUAGAGGUGGAGUUAUCCCUGAGAGGUAAUUAUUGCAGUUUCUUAGAGACUGCAAUAAUUACCACUGUAGGGUUAAGGGACAUAUAAUGU